rnacentral:tRNA from 1 species
ACUUAUAUAGUUUAUAUAAAAUAUUACUUUUUCAAGGUAAAGAUAAACCUUAUUUUAUGAGUG